CAGUCGCCGCGGUAAUACAGAGGGUGCAAGCGUUAAUCGGAAUUACUGGGCGUAAAGCGCGCGUAGGUGGUUUGUUAAGUUGGAUGUGAAAUCCCCGGGCUUAACCUGGGAACUGCAUCCAAAACUGGCAGGCUAGAGUAGGGCAGAGGGUGGUGGAAUUUCCUGUGUAGCGGUGAAAUGCGUAGAUAUAGGAAGGAACACCAGUGGCGAAGGCGACCACCUGGGCUCAUACUGACACUGAGGUGCGAAAGCGUGGGGAGCAAACAGGAUUAGAUACCCGCGUAGUCCCUGUCUCUUAUAA
rnacentral:rRNA from 1 species